rnacentral:rRNA from 1 species
GAUGAACGCUGGCGGCGUGCCUAAUACAUGCAAGUCGAGCGAACAGACGAGUAGCUUGCUCCUCUGACGUUAGCGGCGGACGGGUGAGUAACACGUGGAUAACCUACCUCUAAGACUGGGAUAACUUCGGGAAACCGGAGCUAAUCCCGGCAAAUAUUUUGAACCGCAUGGUUCAUUAGUGAAAGACGUUUUUGUUGUCACUUAUAGGUGGAUCCGCGCCGCGUUAGCUAGUUGGUAAGGUAACGGCUUACCAAGGCGACGAUGCGUGGCCGACGUGAGAGGGUGAUCGGCCACACUGGAACUGAGACACGAUCCAGACUCCUACGGGAGGCAGCAGUAGGGAAUCGUCCGCAAAGGGCGAAAGCCUGACGGAGCAACGCCGCGUGAGUGAUGAAGGUCUUCGGAUCGUAAAACUCUGUUAUUAGGGAAGAACAAAUGUGUAAGUAACUAUGCACGUCUUGACGGUACCUAAUCAGAAAGCCACGGCUAACUACGUG